UACGGGGGGGGCAAGCGUUAUCCGGAUUCACUGGGUUUAAAGGGUGCGUAGGCGGGUUGGUAAGUCCGUGGUGAAAUCUCCAAGCUUAACUUGGAAACUGCCGUGGAUACUAUCAAUCUUGAAUAUCGUGGAGGUAAGCGGAAUAUGUCAUGUAGCGGUGAAAUGCUUAGAUAUGACAUAGAACACCAAUUGCGUAGGCAGCUUACUACACGAUCAUUGACGCUGAGGCACGAAAGCGUGGGGAGCAAACAGG
rnacentral:rRNA from 1 species